AAGUUUCGGUUUCUUUGCGGAUCGUGUCGGCUGUCAUAGGCGUGCAGCUGAAAGCAUCGCGGCUCCGGAUCCGGCUUGGGCUUGCCAUGGCUUCUCUCCAGAUGUACCAAACGUUUGUCUUCCUUGAUAUUGAGACAACUGGCUUGCCUCAGGACUCUCCUCGUAUGGCCGAGCUGUGUAUGUUUGCUGUGAAUUGCCGUUCCCUGCAGCGCUCUUCACUGGACAGGUUGCUGACCCCCCAGCAGCAACUGCCACGCAUCAUAGACAAGCUCACCCUCUGCAUGGACCCCCAGAAGCCCUUCACUUUGCAGGCAGAGUUGAUCACUGGACUGAGCAAGCAGGGCCUGGAGGAAAACCACAAGCCACAAGUCAACAAAGCCAUGGCAGAGGCUGUGAAGGGGUUUCUGGAUCGACAAGCUGGCCCAGUGUGCUUGGUGGCUCACAAUGGCAAUGGAUUUGACUUCCCUAUCCUCCGGGCAGAGCUAAAGCAAGUGGGGGCAGAUCUGCCUGCAAGCAUUGGCUGCCUGGACACUCUGCCAGCCUUAAGGGAAUUGGUUAAAAGUGGGAGCAGGAGCUACAGGCUGGGGGAUCUGUACCGAAGCUUUUAUCAUCAAGAUCCUGUUGCAGCCCACUCAGCUGAAGGGGAUGUUAUCACUCUUCUUCUGGUAUUCCUCGCCAAAGCCCCUGAGCUGAUGCUAUGGAAUCCUGUGGAUCUGCACUGAACAUUAUCACACAGAGUUGGUGUAAUCAUUAUACAUAAUUUGAGCACUCUUUUCUAGUGUCUGUAAAAAUUGUCCACAGAUAAUAUUAGAAUACUAACACAGAGCGGCAGAGUGGGGUGCCUGAUCACCUGAAGCUGAUUUAUCCUACCACAGGUACAAAUGUUGAUAUUCAGAGUUGCUUUAAUGAUCCUGCAUUAUGAUUUUGCAUUGUGGCAUGACACAGUCAGUCUUCCUCACUUAUUCCCAGUUUAAUUCACUAGGUCUGUUUAUUUCCUCGGGCUGCAGCAGAGGGAGAUACUGGGAGCAGAGCAGAGAGGCCAACUUCAGACGCCUCUCACAGAAGUGUUCCUGUUCUGGGUAGUCAUUUAUGAGUUUCUGUGGUGCCUUUUUAACUGAAGGGGAAGGAAUGCUUGCAGUAGCAAACAUGUGACAUGUGUGACACACACACUACAAGUGUUGUAGCGUUCAUUGUGUGUUCACAUGUCUGUGGAACUCACUCUCUCAGCUUCUGGAUGACUUGCCUCCAUGAAAGGAAUCACCGCUGAACUUAAAUCCCAGUCAGGGUGGCCAUGAAUGCAGCUGGCAUUUGUAAGACAGACUAUCCCAAGCUCUUUUUCUACCUGAGUGGGAGAUACUGUUGAAAAUAUAGUACUGGAGAAGAAGCAUGCUAUGCUAUGCUAAAGCUGAUACGACCCUACAAGACCCUGGGAUGGCGCAGCGAUAGUUAUCACUGCCUGGAUGCAGCAUUCCAGAUAACAGGAGCAAGUGAUUGUUUCUGAUGCCUCAAUUCUUCUAAAUGUAAUAGGGUGAUCUUUUAAAAUGUACAAUAAAAUCAUCUGUAUAUGGUAAGUGGAAAGGGAGAGGCUAUUGAGGCUUGAGAAGCAUGUGCUACAGACACAUUUUGAAACUGAUUGCCAACUGGCACCAUGUUUGAAGAGAUUAAAGUUGGAUUACGAAGUAGUAUGACUCUGCAACAUUACCAAAACAACUAGUGGGGUGUGGAGCUUAGAAGUGCUCAACAAGGCUGGGGGAAAUACAGGUUCAGGUUCCUGUUCAGUUAUGAAACUCAGUUGGCGAUGUUGGUCCCAUCAGUAUCUCUCUUCUCAGCUCACCUUCCCUCACAGGCUUGUUGUGAAAAUAAAAUGGGGAGUGGAAGAGAGCAAUUUAGACCAUCCUGACUUUCUUGGUAGCUGUCUUGGUAAAUGAGUGGGAUUGUUUGGUUUUUUUUUUUUUAACCAACCUCUGUGCUUGACUUUUUAAUUAUCAUAAUUAUUAACAUCUCCUACACUGGAGGAGUGAUUUUUCAAAGGUUCUGCUUUUGAGGAAGCCCUUUCAAAAUGCACUCAAAUGCUGCACCGUGUACAUUUGUCAAAGAACUCCAGUGCUGUCUAUAGCCAGUUUAUGUAGGAUGUUGGCCAGGCCUAUACGACUUCCAUUUUGCCCCAUUUGAGCCUAGACUGCUCCUUAAUAUAUAUCCUAUCCCAGGACUGCUAUUGUGGAGGAAAGUCAGUAGUCACACGCAAACUGAUUUGGGGAGGCUCGUUUGGCAUUUCUGCAGCAGUGCCAUGACACAUUUUAAAGUGCAGGUGCCUACCAUGACAGUCCCAUAACCUGCCCCAGAGGAAAGUCCAAACACUCAGGCAGCUGUGUUGAUCCACUUCAAAACACCAAUGUUAAUGGUUUUAACCCCACCAAAAGCUAGUUUGGAUACAGUGGCCAGGCUGUAUUCCAGCUCAAGCUGCUGCAAAAUCCCUCUGCAUUACAACAGGGAGCGAGCGAUAUGUUGUUGGGAAAAUUCAUUUCUCCCAGGGAUGGGAAUUCCAAUGGUGCAGUUGGUUUGGCAGAUGACAUCUGUGUCCCUGCUAAUUAAAAAAAUAUUGUUGGGGUGUCCCUGUGAGCCGUGGUUCUGCUGCAUCACGGAACUCAUUAAGGAGCUCCUGCUAAUCAUUGGAGGAACUCCUGGCUUCCCUGGAAUACCUUCGGAAUGACAGCACCCAAGGACUCAAGGGUUCCAGGUUUUCUUUGGAGCUCAGAACGCAUAUGCUCUUCCAAAGUGGUUGCAUUUCCAAAGGGCACCUGACUGCAUUAUUGGUUAUUCCAGGAAAGCCUCUCCCAGACCAGUCCUUAGCAAACCGGGCUCUAAUUAGUACAAAGUAACAAACCAGUCAGUCAGAAAAAGCUGGGUGCAGUUCACUUGGAAUGCAUUGGCAUGAGGUGGACUGAGAAAUGUAUGGGAGGUGUCUGGGUAUGCUGUUGUGGAGAAGCUUUAUGAAGGCCACAAGAGAACCAUUUCCUCAAUAUCACUUCCGUAAGAUGCAAAGGGCGGAGUAUGAGCUGUUUCUUUGGCAGCCCUUCCCUUACAGCCUCCAGAAAACAUGUAGGCCUCCCAGAGGCCAUUCCUGCCAACUGUCCUGAAAGCAGAAGAAGACAGUUCUCUUCAAACAGGCUUUUAAAAAGAAUUUAAAUUAUGAAUAUCCCUCCUCCCACCCAAUCUUUCAUUCCUUGUGUGACAUGUCUUUUUAGAUUGCAAGCCUACAGGACUGCCAUGUCACUUUCCUUAGUAAGCAAUGCUGGCAGCCUUUUUGGUUCAAGGGUGGAGCAUACAUGCUGUAAACAAAUAGAUAAACACAGCCAGUCCCUAAAAUAACCCAGCUGAGGGGAAGACCGACAUAAAACAUCACAAGAAGUUAUUAGUUGUCAGCCAGAGCACCAAGUUCAGGAAGCCAAAGACCUGGGGACCAAAUGAAGACAUGAUGGAGAAAGAGCCCAUGAAUGCAGAGGGUGGCACCCUUUCCCCUUCCAGAGCAGUGCGAUCUCAUGGGUAGAAAAUGGGAGACUAUAAAAUAUAAACGACGAUGGCAGCAAGGGAGUAGAGGAAGGCGAAGACGGCGAUGGUGACGAAGAAUUCAGCAGAGGAGGAGCAGUCUCCAAUCAAGAAAAUCUUCCGGCGCUCAGACCCUUUACAAAGUGGGGCUUCAAAAUAUACCUGGUGGAGCCUGAGAAGGGGGAGAAGAGAGUGGGAGAAGGAAGAACAAGUGGUUGUUUGUAUUCUUUUAAUUCUACACCAACAUAGUCCAAAUGCUAUGCUAAGAAACAUGAAGUAUUGCAAUUUUUAUAUUUCUUGUUAAUGAGAAGCAGGACUGAGGAUUAGAAAAUUUGAUCAGUUGAGAGAGAAUCUUUUCACUUUGCAUUAGAAAUUGGGGUCAUGCAGUGGAACUGAUGAACAAUGCAUUGAAGAUAGAC